rnacentral:lncRNA from 10 species
CCUGCCUUUCACCUCCUUCUGACUCAUCUCUGAAUUGUUUCUUGUGAUUGUGUCAAGAAUCUGGAAACUAGCUGGGCUGGGGUCUCACUGGCAUGCAGAGACUCUCCUGGGAUCACACUGGCAUCCACAGAGCCUCUUGAGCCCUCCAGCAACAAGUUGAUCUGACUCAUUUCAGUGGCAAUGUAAAUUUGGGAGAACGAAAUUAUCAUCUCACAUCUGCCACCAACUGCUGUUAGCUGUAGAAUGUCAUACGCGUCCAUGUGAAGAGACCACCAAACAGGAUUUGU